ACUCGCGCAGGCGCCGUCCGCCCUCGUUGCCAUGGAGACGCUCGUGCUUUCCCGGGCCGCACUUCCCACCCGGGUCUUCAGAAGCCCGUGGCCGCUGGGUGAGCCCCUGCGUGAACGCACACGCACGCACACGGCUUCAGGUUCCCCGCGGCGCUGCGCGCGAUAUCGGCUCGGAUCCCGGGAGGCCGUCCGCCCCUUUUUCAGCGGAUAGCUGAGGCCAGACAAAACGGUCAGAGCCAAAAGAGCGUCUCCCAGCCGCAGAUCAGUGUGAGCGCUGUUCUUCCUUCCGGAAAAGGGUGGAUCCGUGCAUGUGCUGAGGCCAGCCCAGGUACUCACCUUGUCUAGUAAGAAGACGUGCUCGGUCACCAGCCCCUGUAACUCGGGGACGCGGCUCUCGGUUCCUAGGAGCACGUGCUCCACGAAGAGUGCGGUGGAGGAAAUCCGACUCCACUGGGCUCUGUCAAAAGAGGGUGCCGCUCACUCACUCACUCGGCUCCCACCAAGGAACCCAAGGGUGAAACGAGGAGGGAGACGGGAGAAGAGAUGCGGGACCCGGGGUCCAGGCCCAGCGGCUGGGAUUACAAGCAAGCACUAUGUGACACACUUCCUGGCCCGCCCCCAGCUCUCGCCCUCAGACGCUCAGCUUAGCUGGGACUCGGUGUCCCACUGUGAUGCCUCUGCAUGGGGUACCACCACAACCCGCUCACUGCAUGAUCCUGCGCCUGUCAAGUCCCACCUCACCUCGACGGCCCCGCACAGGAACUGUCUCCUUAGGGAAGUGGACUCUGGCCCUGAGGGCCUGUCCUGCUCUGUGCGCCUGCCCGCCCGGGGUGUCCUUUCUACCACUGCAUUUCUCACACGGCAUCACAAUAGCCCGUCUGCCUUUCUACGGCCCCAGUACACAGUGCGCUCCCUGAAUGCACAGCCGCCUCUCGUGUCUCCAGCACCCUAAUGAGACGCCUGGCACUCACUAAGGGUUCGGCAAAUGCGGAGUGAGCGGGUGAGGACGGAGCCCCUCCCAUGGCAGGAGCGCCUGCCCGUCUUCUCAUGGACAUGCCUGGCACUUGGCAGGCUCCUGGUGAGCGCGCGCCAGAUGAAGCAGUGGGUGAGGGCCCCUGGGUCUCACCUGACUUCCCUGAUGACAGCCUGGGCUAGGCUCCCGCUGCCUUGCAUGUGCUCAUCGGAGCAGAUGAGCUCCAGCGGCAUGGAAAGAUUCUUCACCAACUGUAGCCACGCCUGGGGACUGGGCUUCAGGGUGUUUCUUGUCAGCAUCUCCGUGCAGGCCAUUGCGGCAAAUGCGUCCAGGGUCUGGGGAGACGGACAGCAGGGCGUGGCUGAGCGGUGCCCCUCCCACCGGCCCACCAGAGGCCCCGGCUGUUAGCUGCAUGUAUACUUGUGUCCCAGGCUUGCGACCUAAACUUUCAUUGUCUAGGAUGUGAGAAGCGUCAGCGAGAUGUGUUCUUAACAUCUCUGAAUUCAGCUAAGGUAUGUGCCUUGUGAAGAAAUCUCCCACUUGGAACACAGCCCCAGAAGCUCUCCAUUCCCAGAGUGGAGUUGGAAGCACCACAAGGCUUGCUCAGGGCAGGCGGAGGAGGGCCAUACCAUCUCACAUCCAGCCAGAUCAUGGUUCCAACGGGCUUCCAUCAGGCUGUGGAGAACCUGAGGGUAGAUGGUCAGGAUUCUGGAAAAGUUCUGCAGACGGCUUCUGAAACGCUGGUAGGCAAGGUGCACCCACGGUAAGGAAACCUCUUCCUCAGGCGCUUCUGACGCCGCUUUCAGUUUCCUAGUGCAGGACCACAGAGCCAUCUGCAGAAACUGGGAUUCAAAAAAGCUUUUAGAAUAUAUUUUUAAAUUACAAAAAUGGUAUGUUUUCCCCGUGGGAAAUCCGAACUAUUGGAAAACCAUAAAAGAGGAAAUUAGAAACCAUGUGUGCUAUUCUGUCCCGUUUGCUUUUGUCCAGUUUUCUAUCUGCCUCUCCUCCCACGUUAAGGUCACCGUGUCGUCUGGGCUUUUUGCCACUGAACAUGACAUCAUGAACUUUCCCUAUGACUGAGUAUACUUGAAAAACAUGGUUUUAAUGGCUGCUCAAUAACCCAUCAUACGGCCAUACUUUAAUUUGCCCAUCCUGUAUUUCCAGACAAUUAAAUUAUUUCUUAUUUUUCGAAGCAAAGCUGAAAAGGACAUCCCUGUGAACCAAAUAUUUGUCCACGUCUCCAGUAGUUUCCUCAGGACAGAGUCAGCAGUUCAGAUCGGAUAAGGUGCUCAACUGUUCUGCCACGCAGCCCUGCAGGGCGCCCACUGUGCACGCUACACUGUGAGCCGCGUGGCCUGGCUAUUUCUUUGCAGCACUGGCCGGCGGCUGUUGUUUUUAAAAAUCAGCUUUGCAAAAUGAAUACAUAAACAUGAUAUCUAAAAACUGUUGUGUUGAUUUGCUAUUAAUAGUAAGGCUAAGCAAUUUUUCAAAUGUUUCCUGGAUGUUGAUAUGCUUAAUGAGAUUAUAAAAUUGUUGUUUUAUAAUGUUUACCCAUUUUUUAAAACUUACGGUAUUUUCUUAUUGAUUCCUAAGAAUAUUAACCUCUAGUCAUAUUGGCUGUAAGGAUGUUCUUACAUUUGUCACUCUCCUUUUUUAUGUACUGAAGUUUAAAAUUUUUAGGUAGUCAAAAGUAUGACUUUCUAUUGAAUUUCACUUAUUUAUUCUUACCCUGUAGGGUUAGUUACGUAUUUACUUUAAUUUUUUUCAAGAGAAACUUAACAUUUAAAAAGAAGCUAUGUCAAGGAAAUUGGAGGUCUUCUCAUGGUCACAGAAAGCUCCCUGUUUUAGGAGCCCCUGGGCGGUGGGCUGAGGGUGUAGCACUGAAUAUUGAGAGGAGACUGGGCGACCCCUUCACCCACCGGCACCCUUCACUGACCAUGUUCUGUUCCCAGACUUCACAGCACCAGCUCCAGGCAGCUGAGGAAACGUCUCCGUGUCUGCAUCCAGUCCCCAUCAUGCAAGUUCUACACCUGACCCUUAGCCAGUAUCUAAACAUCUACCUUUAAUUCCUCCUCCGUUGACACACGCAUGGUCAAGAGAAUGAAAUCCUUCAAGUAACACUGAAGAAGUUCCUGCUGCGGCUCUCCAUGGAGCUGGGCAAGAAACCUGCCCAGAGGAGUCUGCUGAAAGAUGUCCACGAACUUCUUGGGCAGUCCUGCAGAGAGGAAACCAAGGAGUGGCCUGGAGUGCGUCUAAGUCAUGGCGCUCCCCUGCCUCCAGGGGGCUCCGGAGUGAAGGGGAAUGGGGACGCCUUGUUGAAUGGGAGCUCGUAGACAAAGGGGUACCAACUGCCUGAUUUUGUAGGGAAUUGAAGGAAUAGUCACUGUCUAGACAUUUAGGAUAUUUUUCUUUUUCCUUUUUUUUGGAGAUGGAGUCUUACUCUGUUGCCCAGGCUGGAGUGCGGUGGGUAGCGUGAUCUCUGCUCACUGCAACCUCCGCCUCCCAGGUUCAAGUGAUUCUCCUGCCUCAGCCUACCAAGUAGCUGGGAUUACAGGCGUGCACCACCACACCCAGCUAAUUUUUUGUAUUUUUAGUAGAGACGGGGUUUCACCAUGUUGGUCAGGCUGGUCUCGAACUCCUGACCUCAGGUGAUCUGCCGGCCUUGGCCUCCCAAGGUGUUGUGAACCACUGCGCCUGGCCUAGGAUAUUUUUCCAGUGGAAUAAAAUAAAGGAAGGCGGAAACAGUGUCAAAUUUAGGUCAGAAACAGCCAAGCUAGCCCCAAAGAGAAACAUCUAGAUAAGACUGAGUUGUAUGUUGCAUGGCUACAGGUCACAGCAUGCUUCAGGAACCCCCGGGUCCAAGUAAAUUAGGAACAAGUGGGCUGCUCUUCAGGGGCUGGGGGUCACAGAGCAUGCAAGCCAGAAAGAUCUGGCUUCUAGUGGGCGGAGUGCAGCCCCUAAUUCGCAUGCUGUCAUAGAAAAGCAGGGUCAGUUGGGGUAUUGUCCUGAGAAAGGAAUAUGCUCAUGAGGAGAGAGACUGCUUUGAGUAUGUUCAGAAAAAGUGGCAGAAUGGUAACCUAGAAAAGAAGGCCACCCUGAGUCUUCCAAAUGGUACGAUAAGUAAACGUGGAAAAGACUAUUGCAUGUAUGAAAGAUGGCUUUUGUAAAAGUGUUGCGUUGUCGUUGGUUUUUCUGGACUAGGGCAAAUCUUCUGGCAUCUGGCAGCAGAGCUCAGCACUGUGUCUGGGCUGUGACUCGGGAGACACAGCUGGGAGGUGCCUCCUGAUGGGGCACCUGGGAGUAGGGGAUGCUCCAGGCGCUCGUGCCUUCUGAGAACGCCUCUCCUGGGGGCACCUUCCGAGUCCAGUGCCCCAGUCUGAGAAGGCCCAGAAUGGGAAUGACCAGCUGGUAGAGGCGACAGUCCUCGUCUUGCCAGAACACACCCCAUUUCGCCAUAUCCCUGGCCAUCACGGCACUAAAAACCAUCUCACAGGCUCCUGCUGCCAUAGGAUCGAAAGGUUUCUGGUCCCGCCGGGGCCUCUCACUCCUUCAGCAGAAACUUUAAAAUGACGCGGUGACGUCAAUUGGACGCUUACUGCACAAAGUGUGAAAACUAAAAACUCCAAAAUUCACCUUGCAAUUCUAGCCACCCGUCUGCUUUUCACUGUCAGGCAAUCCCUUUGUGAUUCACCUGUGCUGGAUCUGACCUGUCUUGAGGUGGCCUCACCUUCUGCGUCCGUGAUGUACUGAGCCUGGAGCCACAGCUCCUCCAGAUAGUCCUUGAUUCUCCAGCUGAAAGGGACACUGUUGGAAGCGCUCUCGGAAAGGUUCAUGUAGUUCUGCACCACGAUGUAGGCCAUCUCACCUUUAUGUCUGCAAUAAGGUGAGGAAUGAUAAGAAGAGGGUUUGUGAGACGUCACUCAAAACACAAGACAAGAUCUGCCACUGAUGCCAGCUCCUCUCAGACCUCAAAAACAAAGGGGCCAACAGGCCAGGCAGACAGCGCUGAUCUAUUUCACAGUACAGGGUUUCUGUUAUGGCAGAACUAGGGAACUAUCUUAUGCAAUCUUUGUUUCACAGGCAAAACAAAAACAAACCAAGGCUGACAGGGGUCAAGUGUGUUGCCCAAAAUGUCGGGCAGAACCAAGCCUUCUGGUUCCUGAACCUGUCUGGCUUUGAUAACUUGUAACACAGAGCACAACUUGUUAGAGAGUCUUUGCUUCAUGAACAUCAGCAGCGCCUUGUCUUUUAAAUAAGUGUUUCCACUGGCAAUUCAAAUUCCUUUACUUUCUUUCUCUCUUUCUCUCGCUCUUUCUUUCUCUUUCUUCCUUCUGUCUCCCUCCCUCUCUCACUCUUUAUUUUCUUUAUUUUUUUUUUUUUGAGAUAGAGUCUCACUGUGUCACCCAGGCUAGAGUGCAGUGAGUGGUGUGAUCCUAUCUCACCUCAAACUCCUGGGCUCAAGCAAUCCUCCCACCUCAGCUUCUACAGUAGCUGGGACUACAGGUGCGCACCACGUUAUGCCUAAUUUUUAAAUUUUUUGUAGUGAUGGGGUCUCACUAUGUUGCCCAAGCUGGUCUUCAACCCCUGGGUUCAAGAAACUUUCCUGCCUCAGCCUACUAAAUUGCUGGGGUUAUAGGCAUGAGCCACCCAGCCUGGGCACAUUUAUUUCUAUAUUCUUUAUAAAUCUACAUCCAGAAUUGAAGCCCCUGAAAGCUGAAGUGGAAGCUAUUGGGAGCUGAGCCUGAGCCCCACAUCAUCAGGCCUGCGGAAGGGGGUGGGGGCUGUGCAGCUCCACCAGGGAAUGAGGGACAGGGGGAGGGAGCACAGAUCCCAGGGGUAAGGAGCACAGAUUGUGGGGCUGUUCUAAGCUCACCGUCUCCGUGUCACGCCACGCUGGGUCUGGCUAAAACCAGUGCUCUGAAGGCAGGGAAAUGAGGAGGGUGGAGAUAAAACAGAAAUUUCUUGGAGCUUCGUAAACUUCCUAUUCUUUUUUUUUUUGAGACAGAGUCUUGCUCUGUCACCAGGCUGGAGUGCAGUGGCGCGAUCUCGGCUCACUGCAACCUCCGCCUCCCAGGUUCAAGCAAUUCUCCUGCCUCAGCCUCCCAAACAGCUGGGAAUACAGGCACGCACCACCACGCCCAGCUAAUUUUUGUAUUUUUAGUAGAGACUGGGUUUCACCACGUUGGCCAGGACGGUCUUGAUCUCUUGACCUCAUGAUCCACCUGCCUCGGCCUCCCAAAGUGCUGGGAUUACAGGCGUGAGCUACCAUGCCCGGCCAAACUUCCUAUUGUUACUGCAGAAAGCACCCACGUCAACGUUGCUCUGAAGUUGAGGGCUGCAUUUCACCCAGCACUUGGGAGAGCAUAUUAGGGUGCUGCUGUGUUCUGAUAGUUUCUCUCCCCAGGGAAAGAAAGCCUUCCACUCACCUUUCAUUAUUCAUCACAAGAGGAAUGUUCAGAAGCAUCGUGUCACUGAAAAUAAACAUCCAAAGAUCUCUUGCCCAGGGCGGAGUAUCUGGCCUGGUCAGUAACUCUAGGUUGCCGUCUCUGUCGAUGAAUGAUAUCAUGCUCGCCAGCAGAGGGGUGACAGCACCUUGGACCCGCUUCCAGAGGGUGUGCCUGCAGCACAGAAGAGAGACGGGCCACCACAGGUCAGAGGAACCAGAGUGGCCAUCUGCCACCUUUUGACAUUUUGUUCCUUCUUGAGCAUUAACAAAACAACUAGUCUACUAUUUACCACACUACAGCGACGGCAAUAACUUGACAUUUCCAUCAUUUUUAAGUCCUAGAAAACAGACUCACAAAGAUGUCUAAGAUUAGAGAUGGAACUGGAAUGGAACUUAAUUCUACAUCUAAUAAACUGUCAUUAGGUUACUGGAA